rnacentral:rRNA from 1 species
UACGAAGGGUGCAAACGUUAUUCGGAAUCACUGGGCGUAAAGGGUGCGUAGACGGUUCAUUAAGUUCGUUGUUAAAGGCUCCGGCCCAACCGGAGUAUUGCGAUGAAAACUGGUAAACUAGAGGGUGAGAGAGAGAAGUGGAAUCCCGGAGUAGCGGUAAAAUGCGUGGAUCUCGGGAGGAACACCAAUGGCGAAGGCAGCUUCUUGGCUCAUACCUGACGUUGAGGCACGAAAGCGUGGGGAGCAAACAGGG